AACUUUUGGCAACGGAUCUCUUGGUUCUGGUAUCGAUGAAGAACGCAGCGAAAUGCGAUAAGUAAUGUGAAUUGCAGAAUUCAGUGAAUCAUCGAAUCUUUGAACGCACAUUGCACCCUCUGGCAUUCCGGGGGGUAUGCCUGUUCGAGCGUCAUUACAACCCUCAAGCCUUGCUUGGUGUUGGGUGCCACCUGUCACAGGGUGCACCUCAAAAUCCGUGGCGGUGCGGCCUGGCUUCAAGCGUAGUAACUCUUCUCGGUCCGGAGCCCAGGCGGCAUAACUGCCAACAACCUCAAACACAUCAAAGGUUGACCACGGAGCAGGUAGGGACACCCGCUGAACAUAAGCAUAUCAAAAAGCGGAGGCU
rnacentral:misc_RNA from 1 species